CAUAUAGUUAUAAUUCAUUAUUCAUGAUGCAUGAUCACGACUACUUGCUACACAUGUGCCUUAAUUGUGUUUUAAUACGUGAUCGAAUACUUUUCUUAAACAGUGAUAAUACAUGAUACAUGUUAUUGAACUUCUACUUUAUGAUUUAACAUUAACUUAAAUGAUUUAUUGUAGUGAGAAGUUAAGUUUCUCGCUAAACGGUGAUAUAUUUGUCUUAGAUGCAUUUCUGCAUUUUAAUUAUGUUUUAAUAUGAUUAAUUACAUAUGUAAUUAUUUGAAGUAACUCAUAUUAGACUAAAACCAAAAGUAUGCAAAAGGGUGCAUUUUGAUUGGUUGGUUGACUAGGUUGCACGAGACCAUUCUGAAAUUGUUUACACUUGAUUAUAAUGAGUAAGCAUCAGCCCAUAUCUUAUCUCAAGCUAUAAAAACGUGGAGGAACCACAAGAAUCCAGCAAAUACAAGCCUUCCAAUCACCAUCCUCCAUUUGGUCUUGUUGGGAAUGGGUAGAUAAGUGAAGACUUUGUGUUUUGGUCUUCAUUUUCACUUGUCUUCUUCCAAAAACGACCAGACCUAUUUCCUUAAUCUUGUCUUCAUAUUUCUUCACUUCCGUACUUACAUAAGAGAGCAUCAAACCAUAAAAAUCAUAGAAGUAGAGCUAGAACAAGUUCUGCCCCUUUUCUAGCUGAAAAUCCUAUGUUUUGAAGUUGAAUUCAUCUCUAAUCAAGGCUUCUAGCACACCUUAUCUAAGACUAAUCCUUUCAUUUCAUAAACCAUUAUUGAUCUUGAGGUAAGUUGAAGCUUUCAUUUUCACAUCGUAAGAACCUAAUUAUGUGCGCUUUAAUGUGACUUUUGCUAUGUAUUCUCUAUGAUGUUUGAAUGAUUGAUGAGUCAUAGUGAUAUGAAAGAAUAUGUUUUGAAAAUGGGAGUAUGGUACUUGAUUGAUGGUCGAGUAGGCAAGGGACGCGGGAGGAACCGGCGGACCCAACACAUGGUGGCAAAUACCUGAGGUCGAAAGACCAGUAUGGAAAACCCACAAUUAAAGAAAUGAAAUACGGCUAAUACCUGAGGUCGAAAGGCCGGUAUGGAAACCCCCGUAUUAUCUAUUGGCCAAAUUUGAUGAACAGGUUCCAAAAAUCAAAGUCUAUUGCUAUCAGUCAAGUACCACACUUCAAGGGUACCCGAUAAAGAGAAGGAUUUCAAAGAAAAGGAUCACGAAUGAAGUUAUAGAUGUGAUAUUGUACUUAUUGAAUGGAUAAUGUGUUAUGUGAUUGAUAUAUUGCUAUUACAUCAGUUUCAACUUGCUGAGCCAUUAGCUCAUUAGGUUCUUAUGAUGCAGGUAAUGAUGUACAUGUUUAGAAGUUGACCUAGCCAAGAGCGGCUAGUCAGAUAUUUGUUCAUAUGCCAUGCUUCGAGCCAUUUUUGUAGCCGAGCAGAAACUCUGAUUUCAUUUUGUUAGCCGCUCUAUUAUGGUUUUUGUACAAUGUAAUUUUGUAAACAAUGAAUAUAUAUAUGUACGGAUUUUGAGAAAGUACUAAGUUUGAUUUCUUUUCAAAGCAUAUAACGUAUUUUUGUAUUAAAACCAUAAUGUUUAAGUAUAUAUAUAAAAAGCUUAGCAUCCCUAACUUAAUGGCGGUGAUCCGAUUGGAUUCUGCUGUUAGGUUGUGCGGUGUUACAUUUUUGGUAUCAGAGCGGAGGUUUAAAAUCUUUUCUGAAGACAGAAGAAGGCAUAUGAACAUACUUUGGCUGGGAAGCUAGGUUAACUCUUUUCUUAUUUACCUAUGUGUUUAAUUUAUAUGUUGCAUAGCAAAUAUCCAGAAUUGUUCGGUACGUCAAAUUUCGAGGGCGAAAUUUUAUAAGGAGGGAAGAAUUGUAAUGCCCAACCAUCCAUACAUGGCCAAUAAUAAGCAUAUUGCAUCAAUGCAUAUAGUUAUAAUUCAUUAUUCAUGAUGCAUGAUCACGACUACUUGCUACACAUGUGCCUUAAUUGUGUUUUAAUACGUGAUCGAAUACUUUUCUUAAACUGUGAUAAUAUAUGAUACAUGUUAUUGAACUUCUACUUUAUGAUUUAACAUUAACUUAAAUGAUUUAUUGUAGUGAGAAGUUAAGUUUCUCGCUAAACGGUGAUAUAUUUGUCUUAGAUGCAUUUCUGCAUUUUAAUUAUGAUUAAUUACAUAUGUAAUUAUUUGAAGUAACUCAUACUAGACUAAAACCAAAAGUAUGCAAAAUGGUGCAUUUUGAUUGGUUGGUUGACUAGGUUGCACGAGACCAUUCUGAAAUUGUUUACACUUGAUUAUAAUGAGUAUGCAUCAGCCCAUUUCUUAUCUCAAGCUAUAAAAACGUGGAGGAACCACAAGAAUCCAGCAAAUACAAGCCUUCCAAUCACCAUCCUCCAUUUGGCCUUGUUGGGAAUGGGUAGAUAAGUGAAGACUUUGUGUUUUGGUCUUCAUUUUCACUUGUCUUCUUCCAAAAAUGACCAGACCUAUUUCCUUAAUUUUGUCUUCAUAUUUCUUCACUUCCAUACUCACAUAAGAGAGCAUCAAACCAUAAAAACUCAUAGAAGUAGAGCUAGAACAAGUUCUGCACCUUUUCUAGCUGAAAAUCCUAUGUUUUGAAGUUGAAUUCAUCUCUAAUCAAGGCUUCUAGCACACCUUAUCUAAAACUGAUCCUUUCAUUUCAUAAACCAUUAUUGAUCUUGAGGUAAGUUGAAGCUUUCAUUUGCACAUCGUAAGAACCUAAUUAUGUGCGCUUUAAUGUGACUUUUGCUAUGUAUUCUCUAUAAUGUUUGAAUGAUUGAUGAGUCAUAGUGAUAUGAAAGAAUAUGUUUUGAAAAUGGGAGUAUGGUACUUGAUUGAUGGUCGAGUAGGCAAGGGACGCAGGAGGAACCGGCGGACCCAACACAUGGUGGCAAAUACCUGAGGUCGAAAGACCAGUAUGGAAAACCCACAAUUAAAGAAAUGAAAUACGGCUAAUACCUGAGGUCGAAAGGCCGGUAUGGAAACCCCCGUAUUAUCUAUUGGCCAAAUUUGAUGAACAGGUUCCGAAAAUCAAAGUCUAUUGCUAUCAGUCAAGUACCACACUUCAAGGGUACCCGAUAAAGAGAAGGAUUUCAAAGAAAAGGAUCACGAAUGAAGUUAUAGAUGUGAUAUUGUACUUAUUGAAUAGAUAAUGUGUUAUGUGAUUGAUAUAUUGCUAUUACAUCAGUUUCAACUUGCUGAGCCAUUAGCUCAUUAGGUUCUUAUGAUGCAGGUAAUGAUGUACAUGUUUAGAAGUUGACCUAGCCAAGAGCGGCCAGUCAGAUAUUUGUUCAUAUGCCAUGCUUCGAGCCAUUUUUGUAGCCGAGCAGAAACUCUGAUUUCAUUUUGUUAGCCGCUCUAUUAUGGUUUUUGUACAAUGUAAUUUUGUAAACAAUGAAUAUAUAUAUGUACGGAUUUUGAGAAAGUACAAAGUUUGAUUUCUUUUCAAAGCAUAUAACGUAUUUUUGUAUUAAAACCAUAAUGUUUAAGUAUAUAUAUAAAAAGCUUAGCAUCCCUAACUUAAUGGCGGUGAUCCGAUUGGAUUCUGCUGUUAGGUUGUGCGGUGUUACAUUUUUGGUAUCAGAGCGGAGGUUUAAAAUCUUUUCUGAAGACAGAAGAAGGCAUAUGAACAUACUUUGGCUGGGAAGCUUGGUUAACUCUUUUCUUAUUUACCUAUGUGUUUAAUUUAUAUGUUGCAUAGCAAAUAUCCAGAAUUGUUCGGUACGUCAAAUUUCGAGGGCGAAAUUUUAUAAGGAGGGAAGAAUUGUAAUGCCCAACCAUCCAUACAUGGCCAAUAAUAAGCAUAUUGCAUCAAUGCAUAUAGUUAUAAUUCAUUAUUCAUGAUGCAUGAUCACGACUACUUGCUACACAUGUGCCUUAAUUGUGUUUUACUACGUGAUCGAAUACUUUUCUUAAACUGUGAUAAUACAUGAUACAUGUUAUUGAACUUCUACUUUAUGAUUUAACAUUAACUUAAAUGAUUUAUUGUAGUGAGAAGUUAAGUUUCUCGCUAAACGGUGAUAUAUUUGUCUUAGAUGCAUUUCCGCAUUUUAAUUAUGUUUUAAUAUGAUUAAUUACAUAUGUAAUUAUUUGAAGUAACUCAUAUUAGACUAAAACCAAAAGUAUGCAAAAUGGUGCAUUUUGAUUGGUUGGUUGACUAGGUUGCACGAGACCAUUCUGAAAUUGUUUACACUUGAUUAUAAUGAGUAUGCAUCAGCCCAUAUCUUAUCUCAAGCUAUAAAAACGUGGAGGAACCACAAGAAUCCAGCAAAUAAAAGCCUUCCAAUCACCAUCCUCCAUUUGGCCUUGUUGGGAAUGGGUAGAUAAGUGAAGACUUUGUGUUUUGGUCUUCAUUUUCACUUGUCUUCUUCCAAAAACGACCAGACCGAUUUCCUUAAUCUUGUCUUCAUAUUUCUUCACUUCCAUACUCACAUAAGAGAGCAUCAAACCAUAAAAACUCAUAGAAGUAGAGCUAGAACAAGUUCUGCACCUUUUCUAGCUGAAAAUCCUAUGUUUUGAAGUUGAAUUCAUCUCUAAUCAAGGCUUCUAGCACACCUUAUCUAAAACUGAUCCUUUCAUUUCAUAAACCAUUAUUGAUCUUGAGGUAAGUUGAAGCUUUCAUUUGUACAUCGUAAGAACCUAAUUAUGUGCGCUUUAAUGUGACUUUUGCUAUGUAUUCUCUAUGAUGUUUGAAUGAUUGAUGAGUCAUAGUGAUAUGAAAGAAUAUGUUUUGAAAAUGGGAGUAUGGUAUUUGAUUGAUGGUCGAGUAGGCAAGGGACGCGGGAGGAACCGGCGGACCCAACACAUGGUGGCAAAUACCUGAGGUCGAAAGACCAGUAUGGAAAACCCACAAUUAAAGAAAUGAAAUACGGCUAAUACCUUAGGUCGAAAGGCCGGUAUGGAAACCCACGUAUUAUCUAUUGGCCAAAUUUGAUGAACAGGUUCCGAAAAUCAAAGUCUAUUGCUAUCAGUCAAGUACCACACUUCAAGGGUACCCGAUAAAGAGAAGGAUUUCAAAGAAAAGGAUCACGAAUGAAGUUAUAGAUGUGAUAUUGUACUUAUUGAAUGGAUAAUGUGUUAUGUGAUUGAUAUAUUGCUAUUACAUCAGUUUGAACUUGCUGAGCCAUUAGCUCAUUAGGUUCUUAUGAUGCAGGUAAUGAUGUACAUGUUUAGAAGUUGACCUAGCCAAGAGCAGCCAGUCAGAUAUUUGUUCAUAUGCCAUGCUUCGAGCCAUUUUUGUAGCCGAGCAGAAACUCUGAUUUCAUUUUGUUAGCCGCUCUAUUAUGGUUUUUGUACAAUGUAAUUUUGUAAACAAUGAAUAUAUAUAUGUACAUAUUUUGAGAAAGUACAAAGUUUGAUUUCUUUUCAAAGCAUAUAACGUAUUUUUAUAUUAAAACCAUAAUGUUUAAGUAUAUAUAUAUAUAAAAAGCUUAGCAUCCCUAACUUAAUGGCGGUGAUCCGAUUGGAUUCUGCUGUUAGGUUGUGCGGUGUUACAUUUUUGGUAUCAGAGCGGAGGUUUAAAAUCUUUUCUGAAGACAGAAGAAGGCAUAUGAACAUACUUUGGCUGGGAAGCUUGGUUAACUCUUUUCUUAUUUACCUAUGUGUUUAAUUUAUAUGUUGCAUAGCAAAUAUCCAGAAUUGUUCGGUACGUCAAAUUUCGAGGGCGAAAUUUUAUAAGGAGGGAAGAAUUGUAAUGCCCAACCAUCCAUACAUGGCCAACAAUAAGCAUAUUGCAUCAAUGCAUAUAGUUAUAAUUCAUUAUUCAUGAUGCAUGAUCACGACUACUUGCUACACAUGUGCCUUAAUUGUGUUUUAAUACGUGAUCGAAUACUUUUCUUAAACUGUGAUAAUACAUGAUACAUGUUAUUGAACUUCUACAUUAUGAUUUAACAUUAACUUAAAUGAUUUAUUGUAGUGAGAAGUUAAGUUUCUCGGUAAACGGUGAUAUAUUUGUCUUACAUGCAUUUCUGCAUUUUAAUUAUGUUUUAAUAUGAUUAAUUACAUAUGUAAUUAUUUGAAGUAACUCAUAUUAGACUAAAACCAAAAGUAUGCAAAAGGGUGCAUUUUGAUUGGUUGGUUGACUAGGGUUGUUUACACUUGAUUAUAAUGAGUAAGCAUCAGCCCAUAUCUUAUCUCAAGCUAUAAAAACGUGGAGGAACCACAAGAAUCCAGCAAAUACAAGCCUUCCAAUCACCAUCCUCCAUUUGGCCUUGUUGGGAAUGGGUAGAUAAGUGAAGACUUUGUGUUUUGGUCUUCAUUUUCACUUGUCUUCUUCCAAAAAUGACCAGACCUAUUUCCUUAAUUUUGUCUUCAUAUUUCUUCACUUCCAUACUCACAUAAGAGAGCAUCAAACCAUAAAAACUCAUAGAAGUAGAGCUAGAACAAGUUCUGCAACUUUUCUAGCUGAAAAUCCUAUGUUUUGAAGUUGAAUUCAUCUCUAAUCAAGGCUUCUAGCACACCUUAUCUAAGACUGAUCCUUUCAUUUCAUAAACCAUUAUUUAUCUUGAGGUAAGUUGAAGCUUUCAUUUG
rnacentral:lncRNA from 1 species